AUUACAAUUUCAGAGGGGCUUGUUCAUGUGUUUCUCUAAGGAGAGGAAGACAACCCUGACAUGAGGAAUAGGCUGCAGGGGAACCGUCUGGCAUCAUGGAUGUGACUGAGCAUUAAUGGGCCACCUCUUGGAGAAUUUCUUUAUGACCGAGCUUUAAGGGCCUCUUCACAC